UUCAGGCGGGAGCGUCUACUCCACAUAAAUAGGCGUUCCCCCUAAAAGAAAAGGAGGAAAUGGCCCCGGCUCGGGCUGCGGCAGCGUGGAGACCUGUCGUAAUGCGGCUAACACCGCGAGAGCGCCUCUUGCGGAGGCAGGGCGCUUAGAGCAAAAUCGAAUGGCA
rnacentral:ncRNA from 1 species